CCAGCAUUCAUAAAGAAAAGACCAGAUCUGAACAGAAAAUUUGAUGUCCAAGCACAGAACAAGAGAAUCAUCAAAAGGAGCCAGCUCCCUGAAGACAGCCUAAAGUUGAAUGAAUUCUCUCUUGAAAGCUGAAGACAAGGGGGAAAAAAAAAGAAAAACUCUCCUCUCUAUGUGAAAUUUCCAAGAGCCAAGUGGAUCAAAAUGAUGUGUGAAAAGCCCAAUAAAAUCAGGCAUCUACAUUUGCA
rnacentral:lncRNA from 1 species